rnacentral:lncRNA from 1 species
UGAACCCAAGCCAGCCUUAGACUGAACUUUCAAAGUACAAUUAAACAACGCCGUGAGGAAAUGGAACAUUCGACAAGGUGUGAUGACCGUGUCGUGUCAUGCAGAAAAAUGUCCUUAUUUCUAGGAAUUGCAUGCUGAGAUCUCGCUCUGGGACAAACCAGCUUCUAUGUCAUGAGUACACUCAGGCAGCUCAUUGGAGAGAUCUGCAUGGUAAAGCAACGAGGCCUCCUGCCAGCAGCCAUGUGAGUGGCAUCUUGGAGCCAGACCCUCCAGCCCCAGUCAAGCCUUCGGAUGCCUGCAGCCCUGGCUGACAUUUUAACCACAACUUCAUGCGAGAUUCUGAGCCAGAAUCACCCAGCUAAGCUGCUCCCGGGUUGCCAGCUUCCAGAAUCACGGUAGGAUGACCUCUCUCCCCUGCUUGGAAGUUACGUAUAUCCAGCAACUUUGAAAUUGAGUAAGACUGGGAUGUGUCAUCCCCAAGAGGGCACUUCAAGAGCCAGUGUGCCAUCACAACCUCUUUCUCUCCCUCUAUCAAACCAGUUGCCAGUGUUAUAAAUAAUGAGACCAUGCUCUAUCAGCUUGGGGCCAGGGGUUGGGGUGAUGUGGAGCAGAGCUGUUAGCUGACCCACCAUGGAUGUGUAGCAGCGGAAGAAGCAAGCCAUGUGCUAUUGAAGCACCCACAUUUUGGAUGUUACUGCAGCACAACCUGAACUAUACUGACUGAUGCAGGUGAGGAUACACAGGGAUCCUCUGUCCCUCCACCCCCAGCUCUUCA